UUCUGACUGGCUGGGACUCACUGUGUAGACCAGAUCUGAGAGAUCUCCAAGUGCUGGAUGAAUGGUGUGCGCCACUUCACAUGGCAUGGCAAGAUGCCCCCUCUCUGGAGCAACCCAGCCCUUAUGGGACAAGAAAUGUGGCGACUCUGUCAGGUGACUUACUCAGCAUCCUUUUACUGGGUUAGAACAAUGGUGGAGCCCAGAGCCCUGGGCGAGGAUAUGGCUGUGUGCUGAGGACCUUCACACAGGCACACAGUGCUCCACCUGUCUUCUUACGGCUGGCAAUGAGAUGGUGCUCCUUACACCGUGGACCCCCCGAGGGGUCUUCCUCACCACCUUCAGCCGGAAAGUGCCUGACCGUAGAACUUCAUGUGUAUUAGUUGCUCCUGAGAAGAGGAAGAGCUGUUUUGAUGCCCGUAUCUUUCGAGGUGUCAGUCCAUGGUCUUUGGCUCCACUGAGUCCAGGGUCACAGCAAGCCUAAACAGGACGGUGGGCUAGACCUGCCGAGGGGCAGACCUCGAAGCUCACAGCAGAUAGGAAGCUCAGAGAUAAGACUGAAGAACAUGGCAUCACUCUGACCUACCUUCUCUGGGUAGGCUUUACUUCCCAUCUCCAGAACCUUCCAAAAUAGGAACAUUAGGUCUGUGCACCAAACGUGGGCAGGAUUGAUCCAUGGAGAGAAGACGACGACACUGGAUCCCUGGGACUGGAGUUACAGACAGUGUGAGAUGCCGUGUGAAUGCUGGGAACUGAAACGGGAGUCCUCUGGAAGAGCAGCCCUUAGCCCUUUGGAUAAAAGGCAGAAGUAAAUAUUCUGACUUGGGUUCAGCACUGGCUUCUUAGACAUGAUACCAGGGCCACAAGUAACAAUAAAAAACAAACAAACAAAACAACAACAACAUAAAAAAAAAAAACAACAAAAUCCCAAAACUGGGUAGAACACCUCUAGAAACAGAAAAGAUAAUCUAUGUGGUGGGAGAAAAUACUAGUACAUCACAUGGUGGAAUUUCAUACAAAAUAUAUUGAAAGUACAACUUAUUAAGAGAAAUUGUUCACUUGCAAAUCAGAAAAGAUCUGAAAGCACAACAAAUAGGAUGAGUAGCGCCCAGAGCUGACAGCAGAUGGAGAGAGAGAGAUGCACAGCACUGAUGGACAAUGAGGGAAGUCAAGUCAGAACUAUCCAUCCCCACUGUCACAGGGGCAAACAAUGCAGAGUGACAAGUGUCGGCAGGUGAGGAUGUGGGGUCACUGCAAACCUUGUGUGCUGCCAGGAGGAAUCCCAAGGGUACAGCGAUUACAGAAACACAAGUCAGACAGCCCUACCAGAUGCCCUGCGACCACACCAUGGCCUCUCUGACCUGUUCACCUGCUGGAAGCUUGGUCCGCAGAGAGGCAGCGUAGAUGAGGAGUCCCUUAUAAAAGCCGGAAUAGUGGUGUAUGCUUGGAACCCCAGUGUCGCGGAGGCGCAAACAGAGACAGGUAGAUCCUGGGACUUGCUGCCCAGCCCAGUCUAAUCAAGUUCCAGGCUGAGAAGAAAUCCUGCCUCGACAAACAAAGGAGACGCCCACGAAGGGCAUCUGAGGUUGGCGUCUGGCCCCCACAUACGUAUGCUUGCACCUGAAUUUAUUUAUAGGCACACUCACACUGACACCUGCACCCCUACACAAGCAAACCCAUGAACCCCCUUCAGUAGUCUGUCUGUGACCUCGGAGACAGGCAAGUGCUGGACUAAGGAUGUGAAGCUGGAACUGUAACACAUUCUGAAGGUAGUGCAAAAACAUGCUUUGUUUUGUGAGGUAGCCCAGGCUAGCCCUGAGAUCACCUGGACGGCCUGGUGCUUAUCUGCUUCAGUGUUCUAAAUGCUAGGAUUACACCACAGCCAGCUAUUUUGGAUUUUUUUUUAAGUUCCUUGUAAAGGUUACACAUGAUCAAGGAUGGGGCAAAGGCAAGUGGAUCUCUGGGAGUGGGAGGCCACCCUGAUCUACACAGAGAAUUCCAGGCCAGACAGAGCUACACAGUGGGAUCUUAUCCCAAACAAACAAAGUUUACAUAUGAUCUAGUAAUUCCACUCUUACUGUCUACCUGGAAGAAAUGAAAACACACACACAAAAAGAGUGCUAACUGGUUGCUUAUAAUGUUAUUGUAUGUGUAUGUAUAUAUUAUGUAUAUUUAUGUAUAAUGUUCUAUAUUUUUACCUCACCCCAUCAAUAAAAUCACAUAGGGCCCAGUACUA